UUGUAGCAUAUCAUAAGCUGAAGGAAAAGAAUCAAACAUGGGAUCGCCCCUAGUAACGGCGAGUGAAGCGGCAACAGCUCAAAUUUGAAAUCUGGCUCUUUUAGGGUCCGAGUUGUAAUUUGCAGAGAGCGCUUUGGCGUUGGCAGCGGUCCAAGUUCUUUGGAACAGGACGUCACAGAGGGUGAGAAUCCCGUACGUGGUCGCUAGCCUUCGCCGUGUAAAGCCUCUUCGACGAGUCGAGUUGUUUGGGAAUGCAGCUCUAAAUGGGAGGUAAAUUUCUUCUAAAGCUAAAUACUGGCCAGAGACCGAUAGCGCACAAGUAGAGUGAUCGAAAGAUGAAAAGCACUUUGGAAAGAGAGUCAAAUAGCACGUGAAAUUGUUGAAAGGGAAGCGCUUGCAGCCAGACUUGCCUGUAGUUGCUUAUCCGGACUUUUGUCCGGUGCACUCUUCUGCGGGCAGGCCAGCAUCAGUUUAGGCGGUUGGAUAAAGGUCUCUAUCACGUACCUCCCUUCGGGGUUGGCCUUAUAGGGGAGACGACAUGCAGCCAGCCUGAACUGAGGUCCGCGCAUCUGCUAGGAUGCUGGCGUAAUGGCUGUAAGCGGCCCGUCUUGAAACACGGACCAAGGAGUCUAACAUCUAUGCGAGUGUUUGGGUGUCAAGCCCAGACGCGUAAUGAAAGUGAACGGAGGUGGGAACCUUUUAGGUGCACCAUCGACCGAUCCUGAUGUCUUCGGAUGGAUUUGAGUAAGAGCAUGGCUGUUGGGACCCGAAAGAUGGUGAACUAUGCUUGAAUAGGGUGAAGCCAGAGGAAACUCUGGUGGAGGCUCGCAGCGGUUCUGACGUGCAAAUCGAUCGUCAAAUUUGGGCAUAGGGGGCGAAGGACUAAUUCGAACUAUCUCAGCUAUCUGGAUUCUGUCGGAUCUU
rnacentral:rRNA from 1 species